rnacentral:lncRNA from 1 species
UUCUUCACAGUCAUUGUAUUUCCACAAUCUACAAUAAGCUCAACUUCAUCUUCACUAUCGAGUUGGAAGCUCUUAUUUGAUAUAUGGCCCUGCCAGAGGUGAUCUUCACAGGAUUUUACUAAGUUAACUGCUACUCUCCGAGAAUCCUUGGUAAAACCCUUAGUAUGAUUAGUCAAUUUGAUUGUAAUACGUUUAGUUUGUUUUUUCUCUAAAUGAGAUGAGCAAACAAUGCACACAUUCAUGCCCUUCAAGUUCCUGCCGUCGAAUUUUGGUAGUUUAAACAAUAUUGAAGCACCCUCAUUCUUAUAGUUGAACAAAGCAGGAAUCUCAUUUCCAGGAAGUACCAAACCAGAAAUACAUCCCUGCACAAAGAGUACCAUUUUUAUUUUACAUGUUAAACAACAACAUCCAAAAAAAAAUGCUUAAAAAGUAAAGAUAGACAGAUAAGAAUACCUUGUGCAUGCUAUUUUUUAAAGUAUUUGAGAUACUGAAGCAACCUUCCAUGUCAAUGUCUGUAAUGGACGUUGAUUUAUCCAAUCCUGGAGCCUCAAUCAGUUUGGGGCAAUUAGCAAUGUACAGUAAACGCAUACGUGAAGCUACUGUUAUAUCUGGUAACCUUUCCAAUGAUGUGCAGUUCAAAGCGUGCAAGACAUCUAAAUUUCUAGGUAAAUCUGGAAUUGUUUGUAGCCAGCUGGUAGACUUUGAAAACUGUUACGGUCCAAUUCCAGUUUAGUUAGUGAGGGUAAACUCCCAAGAUCACUAGGAAGCGCAUCAUCAGAUAGAUUGCAAUCACUGAGCAAUAAUGAUGUGAGUCUGUUUAAGCCAUGAAAAGAAGGUGGCAGCAGGUUGGUUGGACUGGGACUUUUUCUUGGCAGAAACAAUGACAUCAAACGUGAAGGAAAUGUUGCGGAAGUUGAACCUUUACAGCCACAAAGUGAUAAAUCUUUGAGGUUCUUCAGUUUUACUAUGGUACUUGGUACCUGUCUUAUGGCAGUGUCAUCUGCAUGGAGAAUUGUCAAGGAUUCCAAAUCUCCCAAGUCCUCAGGCAAUUCAUCAAAUUUUGAGCAGCCUGAGAGGUAAAGAAUCUGGAUAGACUUCGACUUCCAGAAGCUGCUCGGGAGCCUCAUAAGUUGCUUGCAAUCUUUGAAAUUUACCAAAACAAGUCUUUCAAGGCAUCCAAUAGAAUGAUGAACUUCAACCAAACUUCUGCAGUCUUUGAGUUUUAACUUCUCCAGAUGUGGAAGUCUGGAAAAGUCGGGAGUCCGAGAUAGGCAAUGAGAAUGACUGAGAUUAAGAAACUUCAACUUCCAAAGGAACUGAGGAAAAGAAGCAAGAUUCAGGAGUUAGAAAGAAAUUGUUAUUGUUUGAUAGCAUACUAAAGUUUAGAUAAAUAUUUGAUAGUCUUAGCAUACCUUAGAAUUCUUAACCUGUCUGAGGUUGCUGUAUCGCAUAUCUAUAGCAACAAGGUUUUCCCCAUAGAGGCCAUCAGGUAUGAACGAGAGUGGAAAUCCAUGCCAACAGAGCCAGGUUAAUUUUCUCAAAAGAUAUUCACAGCCUCCACCAAGCUUUACAUGAUUGAGCUGGAGCAGCCUUAGGUUUUGCAGAUUGCAAAACACAUUUACAUCAACUUUCAUGUCAUUCACUUUCAGCAAGUUUAUGGCCAUCCCUUGGAUUGCUUCAGUUCCCUGUCAAUAAACCACGUCAAGAGGAAAGGAUCAGAUAUUUUCAAAACAUGAAUUUAUACGAUGAUAAGUUUGAAUGCAUUCACCAUGUUUCUUCUCAAUAUGUCACCAACUUCUUCAGGAAUCCAUAAUCUACUCCGCCUUCCUGGAUUGUUCGGUGACUGCGCACGAACAAUUUCUCUCCCCAUAUCUCUAAGCAAAUCAUGCAUUAUUAGCUUGUUCUUUUCAUUAACAGAUACAAGGCACCUCUGAGUGAGGACACUAAAUCCAAUGUCUGCGAAAAAAUCACAACCAUUUAAUAUUGGUAACACAUAUUCCUUGUCCAUCCCAAUAAAGUAACAGGAUAUAUCGAGGAAUAUAUCUUUCUGCGUGUCAUCAUUCAGGCCAUCAAAACUUAUUUGGAGCUUUUUCUGAAUUUGAUCAUCAGGAAUUCUUCUCAGUUUUUCCAAUGCACUUUUCCAUUCAACUAUACUUCUACCAAAUAGAAAAGAGCCUAUUACUUCAAGUGCUAGUGGCAAUCUUCCACAGUAGUCAACAAUUUGUUCUGACAACUCCUUAUAAUCUUCGACGGGAUGGCUUGUUCGAAAGGCAUGCCAGCUAAAGAGCUCCAAAGCUUCAAUGUCAUUCAUUUCUCUGGCCAUGUAUACUCGAUCAGCUCCAAGAACUGCUAGAACAUGCUUAUCUCUUGUUGUUACAAUGAUUCUGCUUCCUGAACCAAACCAAUCUCGACUCCCCGCUAUCGCUUGUAACUGAUCUAAUUUAUCUACAUCAUCGAGUAUGAGAAGAACUCUUCUACUGUGAAGUCUUUCCUUUAUCAUAUUCAUUCCUCUGUGAACAUUGCCAAUCUUAAUCUUGUCUGUCUUCAGGAUAUCAAAAAGAAGUUGUUCUUGCAGUUUGACAUGACCAUUUGGCUGCUGUGAAAUUUCUCGAACAUUGGCAAGAAAACAUUUCCCAUCAAAACUAUGAAACAACUCAUUAUACAUGGCCUUGGCAAUGGUUGUUUUCCCUAUGCCUCCCAUUCCAUAUAUUCCUACAAUGCAGACCUCGCUUGAUCCAGCAUUUAACAAGAAGUUCAAUUGUUGCACACGAGGAUUUAUCCCAACUGGAUAGAAGGCUACGAACAAGUAUGUGCUCCUCAGUUCUCUCAAAAUCUCCCCAACAAUUUUCUUUAUAAAUUUUGCCUCAUGCCUGCAAUUAAUUGUCAACAAAAUAGUGAGACUUUAAGCAUAAAACAGCCAAUUAGAAUAUAUUAUGUAAAGCACAAUCCAAAAUAUUUUAUAAUUUGUAGUUUUCCUGAAGAAAAUCCAGCCCCAAGCAAAACAUCUCAUAUUCCUUGGAUCACCAUUUAGUUCCUCAACCCUGAAUUAUCUACUGAUAAUGAACUUCUUCGCAAUAUAUAUCGUUACUUAAAUUUUUAAAAUUAUUUAUUUCUUGAAAUCUUUUUAAUUAUAUAUUGGAUAGUGAUGCAUGAUAUCCAUACACCAUAUCGAUCACUCCUCACAAGCCAAAGAAGUGAUUUAUUGACAAAUGCUGCAUCUCGAAAAAAUCCCUAAGAUUCAAAUUUCGUUGUGUUCUUUCCCGGCUUUUGUAUUUAUCAGGACUUCAAAACAAAGAAAGUGAUUGGAUAGGGUAAGAUGUAGGAUGGAGCCUAUCAAUGAUGUUUUGGAAACUCUUUAGUAGCUCAUACUCACUGUAAUUGUGAUUUGGAUUUAAAAAAAAAUCAAGAUGAUAAAAAACUGUAUAAAAACUAAAUUGAAACCAAUUAGUCCUAUAAAAAUUAGAUAAAAAAUAAUUAAUCCUACAAAAACUAAAACAAAAUAUAUCAUGAAAAUCAAUUAAAAAAAUAAAAUGCUUAAAAAAUUCUUCAAAUGGCUUAUUUUUUGAAAAAAAUUAAAAUGAUAAUAUAUUUAAUUGAUCUGAGUUUCACGGCAUAACAACACUAUGACAAUCAUGUAAAAGUAUUUAUUUCAACAAAUAAAUCCCACAAAAAAAAACAUCACAAAGAAAAAUUUAAAAUUAACCAAAUGUUGUUUUUUAAAAAGAAAUUAUUCAAACAACAAAAUACUGGAUCAACCCUAAUUUUUUAGAUUAACUUGUCAAACAUAUGACACAGGAUAUGAUUUUAACUAGAUUUAAUAAUUUUUUAUUAAAUUUUAUUUUUUAUCUUAUAUAAUAUUUUUUAAAAAAAAAACCUGAAAGAAGCUAGAUGUGUGACCAUGGUAGACCAAUAUACCUAGGCCAUCUAAAAGAAAGAGCCUGACCUACACACUUGGGCUUGUUUUUAUUUAUUUUUUUAAUUUUUUAAGGACAAACGAUUUGUCAUCCAUCUCUUUUCUUUAAAAACUAAAUGGAUAACACAUCAACUGCUAUUAGCAAAAUUUUGUGACGGGAGGGUCACAAGAAAAACAUGGCUUUAGUUUUUUUUUUUCAAAAGACCUUAGUUUUUACUCAAAACAUCUAGAAAACACCCUCAACCUAUUUAUGGCCUCAAACCGCUUAAAAGCAGCUCAAAAACCCGAAAUCAAUCCAAAUCCAAAAAUCUUUCAAUAGGCAAAUCUACCUCCUCGUGAAAGGAGAACGAAGAAAAACACCUAGAUCAAACUUUUAUUAUCAAAUGGAACCUAUUAAAACUAAAAUUGAUCAUUUUGUGGUUAAAAGUGGUGUCUCUGAUGGUUUUUUCUCUAUAUAUCGGAAUCCAACUAGCCUCUCAUUCCUCUCACAAGAAAAUGAUCAAAAAAUAAGAAAAAUAAAGUUUGAUAUCAAAAUUGAAUUUCUAUAAACUAAAAGACCUAUUAUCUAUUAACAUAAAAAAUAUGAGGGACCAAACUAAACUUUUUUAAAGAAAUGGUUAAUAGUUAAUAGUCAACAUACUUCUUAGAAUAAUGUGAUUUCUACGAAUUUUUUUUUAUUAUUAUUAAUUAACUCUUAGCCGCUACGGGAUUGUAGUAUCAUCAAAUGGUUAAUAGACAACACACUUCUUAUAAUUUUGUGAUUUCUACAAAAGAAAAUUGUUUAUUAAUUAUUUUCUUCCCAUCUCAAGUUAUUAAUUAAUUAAGUGAAUGAUCACAGAUCACAAUCUCUCUGUUUUGAAAUUCCCAAGCAGAAAGGUUUCGUGUUUCCGCCUGAGACUCGCACGUCAAGGACUCCUUUAAUAAUAACAUGUUCAUCCUUAAUAGCUUUGUAUGCCUGCCCCAAUCAUACGAUUUCGGAUGGUAGAAAAGAAAAACAAUUUAAAUGGUUCAAUUUUAUUUUUUUUAUUAUUAUUAUAUACAAAAGGUUCAAAUUUGAGCAUUUUAUCACUUAGAUCAUAUCAUUGAUAACAUAAGAAUUACUAUUAAUUCAAAUUGUAAAGUCAAUUAAAUUAGUAAGGAUCGAUGGUUAAUUUUAUGAGUGCUUACCCGUCUGCAACAUUCCUCAAAUCCCAUCCAGACAAAUUUGCAGCUUCAGUCAAAGCCAUCCUCCACGUCGCCACCAUGUCCUUGUCCAUCUGGAGCACAAGCCUUUCUUCAUGUUCAGCAAAGGCCUCGGCAAAACUUCCAGUUUGUUCGCUUACAUCAGAUGGAUCAACAUCAUAGAAUAUAGGAAAAACAAGUUGCCUACAACUUCUCCUACACUCCAUGAUCUUCACUAGUUCCUCAAGACACCAUCUUGAAUUUGCAUAAUUUCUUGAGAACACAAUGACUGAAACCCUAGACUUUUGGAUAGCUUGUAAUAGCUCCGUCGAAAUAUCUUCACCCCUUCGGAGCUCAUUGUCGUCUCUAAAUGUGUUGAUUCCAGCAUCUUUUAAGGAAAAGUAGAGAUGAUCGGUGAAAUUUUUGCGCGUGUCCUCACCUCUGAAACUCAAAAACACAUCAUAAAUCCACGGUUUUGAAGAUGAAGACGCAGUUGAAAAUGAAGAUGUCAUUGUAACAUGAAAGCUAUGGUGGUUCGAGUGGAAGAAAGAUAAUGACCAUAAAAGUUUAUGUGAAGGACACUUAUACAGUGAGAGAGACUUGAGUAAUCGCAAUUGGAGUAAUAUCUUUAUUCGUACUCUGAUAGAUUUAUUUAAAAAAUAAAAGAUCAACCAGACAUUUCUAUAAUUUAGUUGUUUUUUUAAAUUCCCUCUAUUCCUUAAAUAAUAUAACGUUCGUAGAUAACAUUUUAUAUCAUCACUCUGAAUUUAAUAAAAUAAAUAAAUUAUUUAUAAAAUUAUCAUUAUAUUUUAUUUAAUUUAAAACUCAAUCAAUUUGUCCACUAGCCAAGGUCAGAUGCAAAAACAAAUUAACCUAAAGUUGACUUAGUUUGGUAAAUUCAAUUAAAAGCUGUUUUGUGAUAUCAUUUUGAUUUAAUCAACUCAAUCCAGAAUAACUAGAGUCUUGAAUAGAGUUAUGGGCAAAGUUAAGUCUAAUAAUAUUAAUAAAUACUAAUUAGUUUUAAUGGUAAUAAAUUUGAGUUCUUUCAAAGCUAUUAGAGACUUAUAUAAUCAUUAAUUUUAGAGUUUGUAGGAUUAGUCGAUGUGUGUGCAAACUGAUUUGGAUACCGAUGUUAAUAAAAAAAAAACAAAUAUUAAUUAAUGAGAUGAUAAAGGUUAAAUAUUAAGAUAGUGUUUGGUAUUGCAAUAACAAUUAUUUUUUAAAUAUAUUUUUUAGAAAUGACUGAAAUCUUGACUUUGCAUAAUUUCUUGAGAACACAGUGACUGAAAUCCUAGACUUUUGGAUCGCUUGUAAUAGCUCCGUCGAAAUAUCUUCACCCCUUCGGAGCUCAUUGUCGUCUCUGAAUGUGUUGAUUCCAGCAUCUUUCAAGGCAAACUAGAGAUGAUCGGUGAAAUUUUUGCGCGUGUCCUCGCCUCUAAAACUCAAAAACACAUCAUAAAUCCACGGUUUUGAAGAUGAAUAUGAAGAAGAUGAAGAUACAGAUGAAAAUGGAAGAUGUUCAUUGUAACAUGAAAGCUAUGGAAGGAUUAAUUCUCCCUCAUACUCCGACGACCAAUGAAAAGUUGCGUAUAUAUACGAGUUCUCUUUUUUUGUCCCGAGAAUAUUAAUGCAGGAGGCAAGAUUUAUGCAUGUGAAAGCGUGAAAAAAUAUUUUUCAUGUUAUAUUUGUUUUUAUAUUUUAAAAGUAUUUUAAAAAUUUAUUUUAUUUUAUUUCUUUGUUUAAAAUUUUUAUUUUUGUGUUUUUAAAUUAUUUUAAUGAAUUGAUAUUAAAAAUAAUGUUUUAAAAAUAAAAAAAUAAAUUUUAAUACAAGUAAAAUUUAAAAACAAAAUGUGUGUCAUCAUUAACUUAUUAUCAAAUCUGAAAAAGUCACUUAAAGUAGAUAGGACUUGGGAGAAUGGUAGUAAUUAGGGGUGUUCACGGUCCGGUUCGGUUCGGUUUUAAUCUAAAAAUUCAACCGAACCGAAAAACAGUAUUUCUUAUUAAUAUAACACGAACCGAACCGAUAACCGGUUCAAACCGAACCGGUUUUGUUCGGUUCGGGUUGGUUUUUUAGCAUAAAAACUAGAAAAACCAGACUCAUCUUCAUCACUGAGCUAAAUCAAAGGAAAAAUCUGACAUCAAAUAUCAAUCUAAGCUAUUAAUCACAGCAACCACUUAGAAAUUCAAGAAAAGCAACUAGAAAAAGCAAAGCCAGCUGUGAAUGCAAAGCCAGCAGCAUCAGUUUGUCCUUUCAAAGCUGUGGAAUGUUUGCAGCUUAAUUCGGGAUCUGGGGAUUUUGGUAUUUUACUCACUGGCCUUUUUAGGGCACGGACAGCCUUUGCAUUUACUAACACGCAGGACAUGUAAUUGGAUUUGCAGCAGCCAGUGCGUGUUGUACUUUUGAUAGGGUUGCUAGGCUUUCAUCUUAAUGUGUAUAGUGCUUUAUGAACCUUGAGCAUAGAGCUGAGAGACUAGGGUCCAUUAAAGGAUAAGAGAACAAUGCACAAGCUCUGUCGGCUGAUCCGUGCUCUCUUUCUUCUAGGUUGGUUUCUUGUGAUCGGGGGGAAAUAGAAGGGAAGGCUUGAGGGGGGGGGUGACGGCUGGAAUGGAGAAAAGUGAUUUAGGGUUCUAGGAAGGGGAAGGAGAAGGGAAAGGGGAAGCCUGGAGGGGGAGAGGGGGGGUUGGCGACUAGAAAUGGAGAAAGUGAUUUAGGGUUUUGGGAAAGGGAAGGGAAAGGGAAAAAGGGGAAGGCUGGAGGGGGAGGGGGGGUUGACGGCUGUUAAGAGUGUAAGUGAUUUAGGGUUAGGAAUUAUUCUUUUUAUACUCUUUUUUUAAACCGGUUCGGUUUGGUCCGGUUCAAUCGGUUUAAGCUUUUUUAAACCGGAAUCAAACUGGACCGGGUGGUUUUUUUUAUUUUUUAAUCGGUUUAUUCGGUUUUUUCUAUCGGUUCGAUUUUUUCGGUUAAUUUUUUCUCGGUUUUUUCAGUUUAAUCGGUUAGUCGGUUUUUUUUAACACCCCUAAUAGUAAUAAUAGAUUUUUGGAUUUGAUUAUUUUUCUUCUUUUAUUUUGAUCGUUUGAAAUGCUUUUUGGGAUUAAAAUUAGAAUUUAAAAGGCUUUUGAAAGGAUUUUGAAAUUAAAUAAAUUGUUUGUUUUUUUAAUAAAAAAAAAUCUGCCAACCCUAAAUUUUUAGUGAGCUUUUGGUCAUCGAAACACCAUAAUAAACAAUUCGUCAGCUUAGAAUGAGCGAUGCAUUGCCCUCAUCUACCCCUCUUUUUUUAAAAAAACAAUGCUUGGGUCAACUUUCCAAAUACAUACUUAUGAGCUAACUCACUAAUCGAGGUGUACCGCCACCUAGGCCUAGCGCAACCUAUCUCGAUUCUUUUUAAUUUAUCCUUUUUUUUCUUAAUUUUUUUGAUCCCAAAAAUUAAUUUUUAUUUUUAUAAAUAUUCAAAUAUUAUUUAUAUGUGAUUUUUUAGCCAAAUUAAUAAAUUCAAAGUUAAAAUAAAAUAACUGCUUGAUAAGUUUUACCAAAUAUUGGUGUGUAGGAAUUAGAUAGAGAUUUUCUUAUUCUUUAAAAAAAUAUUUUAACUUAAUUUAACAUCAAGAUAUGAUCAAAAUUUGUUAUUAAUUUAUUUGGGAAAACUAGAAAAUACAAGUUUUAAAUUAACACAUUUAAAAAAUAUAAGAAUUAUUUAACCAAAUUGACAUAAAUAUAAUAGUAAAUUUAAGGAUUUUGAUUUUUUUUCCCUCAAAAUGCUUACAUAAAAUCUUUAUUUUUCUCUCAUAAAUUAUAACUAAUGAUUCAAUACUUUUUUGCACUAUUCAAAUCGACAUAAAUAUAAUAUAAAAUUUAAGGAUUUUGAUUUUUUUUUCCCUCAAAAUGCAUACAUAAAAUCUUUAUUUUUCUAUCAUAAAUUAUUACUAAUAUCAGAAAUCCAUUCUUUUUAUUGAAUAAGAAAUAUUUUUAAGAUCUUUGUAACAACUAAUAAUUCAAAUUUGUUUUUUCACUUUUCAAUGACAACUUACCAUUCAAUUUAUUAUUGAUACGCUAACUCUUACCUCUUUAAAGGCUAUCUUUAAAAUUAUUGCUUAUAUAAUAAUUAGGGACCAACAUUAGGGAUCAAUUAAUUAUUCGAGUAAUUAUUUUAUUGAGCGGUCGUCUCUUCUUUUGCGUCAACUACUUGAUCAAUUUAACAUUGGGUUUUUAAUUUGAUAAAUAAUUUUUUUUUGUAUUUUAAAAAACUUAUUUUUUUAUUUUAAAUUAAUUUUUUUCAGAUUAAUUAGAUAUAUUAAUAUUAAAAAUUAAUUUAAAAAAAAUUCAUAAAUUUUCAAAUAAAAAAUCACUUUAAAAAAUAUUCAUUAUUAUAAUAUCAAAUAUAUAUUUUUUUAAAAAAUAUACACAAGGUCAACUGCACGGCACGAGACGCAUGUGCCGCGUGCAUCUUGCGAGGGCAUCGCUCAAAUAUGCUAUUUUUAUUUUAUUUUUCUAUUGUUUGAAAAAAACCUCUCUUGAGUUCUCUUGUUAAUAAACAAUAUAUAUUCUGUCAAUGUCGGCCACAAAGAUAGCAACUUGCAGAGAUAGAUAUAGAACACAAUCCAAAUCCCUUUGAAAAACAUUUUAGUUAUACGUUACUGGGGAAUUCAAUUUUUUUUUUUUUACAAGGCUGGUUACCAAAUUAAUUGGAAAUAAAUAAUUUUUUUUAUUUUAAUUAUACUAUUAGAAUACAAAAAAAAUUAAAACUAGAGUCAAUAACCAAUUUUAUAUUCUUACAAUGGUUUUUACAUAAAUAUCAUGUUAAUUUGGUAUUUGACUAGACAUAAAAGAAUAAAAUAAAAAAUCAUAGUGUUGCUCAAUUGACUAGAAACAAUUUUUUUUUUUUUUCAUGUUAAUUAUAGAUAGAAACAAUCAACAUACUGGCAGAAUAAAAAAAAUUAAAGCUAGAGUCAAUGGCCAAUUUUAUAUUUUUACAAUGAUUUUUAUAUAAUUAUCUUGAUCAAAUGAGGGUUCAAUGAGGGGUAAUUUGAUAUUUGACUUUUUUUAUAAUUGAUUUUAAAAAAAAAAAUUCUUUCAAUAUUUAAUUAAUUAGAAAUUAAAAAAAUAAUCUUGAAGAGAUAAUUCAAGUCUAUAAUAAGACGCCUACGGAAUUUAGGGCACAAAACCACCCCAACAAAUAUUGUUGGUUGCAUGCGACGUGCAAUUCGGAACAAAAGUUAUGGCGAAAAUACAGAGAGGGACGUAAAAAAUUCACAAAUCAGACUCCGACUAUCCUUGCGCUGGACUGUCCUGUCAGAAUAGUAUAGCACUUCCAAAAUCUCCUCCAUCACAAAUCAGACACAGGCAUAAUGUAUAGAUCAUUAUGUUCAACAAAAGCUUCAACAAAGACAACAUUGAAAACGCCAUGACCAGAAGAGUGAAGCUAUGCCACAUCCAUGUUUUCCUCGACACUCUGUUGACUGGUCUCAAACCUCAAUCUUUUUGCUUGAGAUGGGUUAUCACAGCUUGAUCCCUCCCCAUAAUCAUUAUCAAGACCUCUCUUACUUCAAGCCUUGCCUCGUCUUGCUCAUAUACUAGGUAUACUCCAUUCUUCUUCACAGUCAUUGUAUUUCCACAAUCUACAAUAGCUCAACUUCAUCUCACUAUCAGUUGGAAACUCUUAUUUGAUAUAUGGCCCUGCCAGAGGUGAUCUUCACAGGAUUUUACUAAGUUAACAGCUACUUUCCGACAAUCCUUGGUAAAACCCUUAGUAUGAUUAGUCAAUUUGAUUGUAAUACUUUUAGUUUGUUUUUUCUCUAAAUGAGAUGAGCAAACAAUGCACACGUUCAUGCCCUUCAAGUUCCUGCCGUCGAAUUCAGGUAGUUUAAACAAUAUUGAAGCACCCUCAUUCUUAUAGUUGAACAAGGCAGGAAUCUCAUUUCCAGGAAGUACCAAACCAGAAAA